CUGAUCUCAUCAAUCUAGCGGGAGAGACAGGAUAACCUGUCCGAGAGUAUAGCGCCACUAUGACUCCGCCGGAAAAAUUACUUUAAAAAUCGCCAAAAAUUACUUGGAGCAAAGGGCAGUCGGCGGAGCUUCGCCAAAGCUGGCGCAGUCGGUUUAAUAAUGAUAGAAUGAAGACCAUAAUAAAAGAGACCUCUACUUAGCAAUUCUUACCUUUCUUACCUAUUUGAUGAAGAUGUCUUUUGAAAGGUGUACUGCAAGGAACAAAAUGUUUGUAAAUUCUGCUUUUACCAAGGUAAAGAUCAAAUUUUAUAAAUUUACUUGUUUGUUUAUACAAGGAAAAAUAACUUCAUAUAUUGAAUAUAUUCAAAAGUUUAAGCAUUUAAUUGUAUUGCCCUGUUAAGUUGGCAUAGCAAAUAAAUGCUUUUCUUUUCCUCAUUUUAUUCUUUGUGUUUCCUAACCCAUAGCACUGUGCUAGGCACAGAAUGGACUUCAGUUAAGUUUUUGAUGUAGAAAUGUUUUAUUAUUCUACUUAAAAUCUCCUUAAAAAUAAUUAUGCAUAUUACAUCAAUGUUAUAAUGUUUAAACAUAAAUUUUUUUACAUGCAUUCUUUUUUUUUCUGAAAGAAAAUAUUUUUUAUAUUCUUUAGGCGCGAAUGUAUGUUUAAAAAAAACAAAACCUUGGAGUAAAG
rnacentral:antisense_RNA from 1 species